rnacentral:rRNA from 1 species
CACGUAGGGUGCGAGCGUUGUCCGGAAUUAUUGGGCGUAAAGAGCUCGUAGGCGGUGUGUUGCGUCGGCCGUGAAAACCUGCAGCUUAACUGUGGGCUUGCGGUCGAUACGGGCAUCACUGGAGUUCGGCAGGGGAGACUGGAAUUCCUGGUGUAGCGGUGAAAUGCGUAGAUAUCGAGAGGAACACCAGUGGCGAAGGCGAGUCCCUGGACAACUCCUGACGCUGAGGCACGAAAGCUAGGGGAGCAAACGGG